GAUCGAUUGCCGGUCGAUGGCA
rnacentral:miRNA from 1 species